GUGGGGAAUAUUUGACAAUGGGCGAAAGCCUGAUCCAGCCAUGCCGCGUGUGUGAAGAAGGUCUUCGGAUUGUAAAGCACUUUAAGUUGGGAGGAAGGGUAGUAACCUAAUACGUUGCUACUUUGACGUUACCGACAGAAUAAGCACCGGCUAACUUCGUGCCAGCAGCCGCGGUAAUACGAAGGGUGCAAGCGUUAAUCGGAAUUACUGGGCGUAAAGCGCGCGUAGGUGGUUCAGUAAGUUGGAAGUGAAAUCCCCGGGCUCAACCUGGGAACUGCAUUCAAAACUGCUGAGCUAGAGUACGGUAGAGGGUGGUGGAAUUUCCUGUGUAGCGGUGAAAUGCGUAGAUAUAGAAAGGAACACCAGUGGCGAAGGCGACCACCUGGACUGAUACUGACACUGAGGUGCGAAAGCGUGGGGAGCAAACAGGAUUAGAAACCCUUGUAGUCC
rnacentral:rRNA from 1 species